GGCAGCAGCCGCGGUAACACCGGCGGCCCGAGUGGUGAUCGUGAUUAUUGGGUCUAAAGGGUCCGUAGCCGGUUUGGUCAGUCCUCCGGGAAAUCUGAUAGCUCAACUAUUAGGCUUUCGGGGGAUACUGCCAGACUUGGAACCGGGAGAGGUAAGAGGUACUACGGGGGUAGGAGUGAAAUCUUGUAAUCCCUGUGGGACCACCUGUGGCGAAGGCGUCUUACCAGAACGGGUUCGACGGUGAGGGACGAAAGCUGGGGGCACGAACCGGAUUAGAUACCCGGGUAGUCCCAGCCGUAAACGAUGCUCGCUAGGUGUCAGGCAUGGCGCGACCGUGUCUGGUGCCGCAGGGAAGCCGUGAAGCGAGCCACCUGGGAAGUACGGCCGCAAGGCUGAAACUUAAAGGAAUUGGCGGGGGAGCACAACAACGGGUGGAGCCCUGCGGUUUAAUUGGACUCAACGCCGGACAACUCACCGGGGGCGACAGCAAUAUGUAGGCCAAGCUGAAGACUUUGCCUGAAUCGCUGAGAGGAGGUGCAUGG
rnacentral:rRNA from 1 species